rnacentral:rRNA from 1 species
CGGAUUGGAGUCUGCAACCCGACUCCNUGAAGCUGGAUUCGCUAGUAAUCGCGCAUCAGCCACGGCGCGGUGAAUACGUUCCCGGGCCUUGUACACACCGCCCGUCAAGCCAUGGAAGCCGGGGGUGCCUGAAGUGCGUGACCGCAAGGAGCGCCCUAAGGUAAAACCGGUGACUGGGGCUAAGUCGUAACAAGGUAUC